rnacentral:rRNA from 1 species
GGGUUGUGAGGUUAAGCGACUAAGCGUACACGGUGGAUGCCCUGGCAGUCAGAGGCGAUGAAGGACGUGCUAAUCUGCGAUAAGCGUCGGUAAGGUGAUAUGAACCGUUAUAACCGGCGAUUUCCGAAUGGGGAAACCCAGUGUGAUUCGUCACACUAUCAUUAACUGAAUCCAUAGGUUAAUGAGGCGAACCGGGGGAACUGAAACAUCUAAGUACCCCGAGGAAAAGAAAUCAACCGAGAUUCCCCCAGUAGCGGCGAGCGAACGGGGAGCAGCCCAGAGCCUGAAUCAGUGUGUGUGUUAGUGGAAGCGUCUGGAAAGGCGCGCGAUACAGGGUGACAGCCCCGUACACAAAAAUGCACAUGCUGUGAGCUCGAUGAGUAGGGCGGGACACGUGGUAUCCUGUCUGAAUAUGGGGGGACCAUCCUCCAAGGCUAAAUACUCCUGACUGACCGAUAGUGAACCAGUACCGUGAGGGAAAGGCGAAAAGAACCCCGGCGAGGGGAGUGAAAAAGAACCUGAAACCGUGUACGUACAAGCAGUGGGAGCACGCUUAGGCGUGUGACUGCGUACCUUUUGUAUAAUGGGUCAGCGACUUAUAUUCUGUAGCAAGGUUAACCGAAUAGGGGAGCCGAAGGGAAACCGAGUCUUAACUGGGCGUUAAGUUGCAGGGUAUAGACCCGAAACCCGGUGAUCUAGCCAUGGGCAGGUUGAAGGUUGGGUAACACUAACUGGAGGACCGAACCGACUAAUGUUGAAAAAUUAGCGGAUGACUUGUGGCUGGGGGUGAAAGGCCAAUCAAACCGGGAGAUAGCUGGUUCUCCCCGAAAGCUAUUUAGGUAGCGCCUCGUGAAUUCAUCUCCGGGGGUAGAGCACUGUUUCGGCAAGGGGGUCAUCCCGACUUACCAACCCGAUGCAAACUGCGAAUACCGGAGAAUGUUAUCACGGGAGACACACGGCGGGUGCUAACGUCCGUCGUGAAGAGGGAAACAACCCAGACCGCCAGCUAAGGUCCCAAAGUCAUGGUUAAGUGGGAAACGAUGUGGGAAGGCCCAGACAGCCAGGAUGUUGGCUUAGAAGCAGCCAUCAUUUAAAGAAAGCGUAAUAGCUCACUGGUCGAGUCGGCCUGCGCGGAAGAUGUAACGGGGCUAAACCAUGCACCGAAGCUGCGGCAGCGACGCUGAUGCGUUGUUGGGUAGGGGAGCGUUCUGUAAGCCUGCGAAGGUGUGCUGUGAGGCAUGCUGGAGGUAUCAGAAGUGCGAAUGCUGACAUAAGUAACGAUAAAGCGGGUGAAAAGCCCGCUCGCCGGAAGACCAAGGGUUCCUGUCCAACGUUAAUCGGGGCAGGGUGAGUCGACCCCUAAGGCGAGGCCGAAAGGCGUAGUCGAUGGGAAACAGGUUAAUAUUCCUGUACUUGGUGUUACUGCGAAGGGGGGACGGAGAAGGCUAUGUUGGCCGGGCGACGGUUGUCCCGGUUUAAGCGUGUAGGCUGGUUUUCCAGGCAAAUCCGGAAAAUCAAGGCUGAGGCGUGAUGACGAGGCACUACGGUGCUGAAGCAACAAAUGCCCUGCUUCCAGGAAAAGCCUCUAAGCAUCAGGUAACAUCAAAUCGUACCCCAAACCGACACAGGUGGUCAGGUAGAGAAUACCAAGGCGCUUGAGAGAACUCGGGUGAAGGAACUAGGCAAAAUGGUGCCGUAACUUCGGGAGAAGGCACGCUGAUAUGUAGGUGAAGUCCCUCGCGGAUGGAGCUGAAAUCAGUCGAAGAUACCAGCUGGCUGCAACUGUUUAUUAAAAACACAGCACUGUGCAAACACGAAAGUGGACGUAUACGGUGUGACGCCUGCCCGGUGCCGGAAGGUUAAUUGAUGGGGUUAGCGCAAGCGAAGCUCUUGAUCGAAGCCCCGGUAAACGGCGGCCGUAACUAUAACGGUCCUAAGGUAGCGAAAUUCCUUGUCGGGUAAGUUCCGACCUGCACGAAUGGCGUAAUGAUGGCCAGGCUGUCUCCACCCGAGACUCAGUGAAAUUGAACUCGCUGUGAAGAUGCAGUGUACCCGCGGCAAGACGGAAAGACCCCGUGAACCUUUACUAUAGCUUGACACUGAACAUUGAGCCUUGAUGUGUAGGAUAGGUGGGAGGCUUUGAAGUGUGGACGCCAGUCUGCAUGGAGCCGACCUUGAAAUACCACCCUUUAAUGUUUGAUGUUCUAACGUUGACCCGUAAUCCGGGUUGCGGACAGUGUCUGGUGGGUAGUUUGACUGGGGCGGUCUCCUCCUAAAGAGUAACGGAGGAGCACGAAGGUUGGCUAAUCCUGGUCGGACAUCAGGAGGUUAGUGCAAUGGCAUAAGCCAGCUUGACUGCGAGCGUGACGGCGCGAGCAGGUGCGAAAGCAGGUCAUAGUGAUCCGGUGGUUCUGAAUGGAAGGGCCAUCGCUCAACGGAUAAAAGGUACUCCGGGGAUAACAGGCUGAUACCGCCCAAGAGUUCAUAUCGACGGCGGUGUUUGGCACCUCGAUGUCGGCUCAUCACAUCCUGGGGCUGAAGUAGGUCCCAAGGGUAUGGCUGUUCGCCAUUUAAAGUGGUACGCGAGCUGGGUUUAGAACGUCGUGAGACAGUUCGGUCCCUAUCUGCCGUGGGCGCUGGAGAACUGAGGGGGGCUGCUCCUAGUACGAGAGGACCGGAGUGGACGCAUCACUGGUGUUCGGGUUGUCAUGCCAAUGGCACUGCCCGGUAGCUAAAUGCGGAAGAGAUAAGUGCUGAAAGCAUCUAAGCACGAAACUUGCCCCGAGAUGAGUUCUCCCUGACUCCUUGAGAGUCCUGAAGGAACGUUGAAGACGACGACGUUGAUAGGCCGGGUGUGUAAGCGCAGCGAUGCGUUGAGCUAACCGGUACUAAUGAACCGUGAGGCUUAACCUUACAACGCCGAAG